rnacentral:rRNA from 1 species
GGCGGCAUGAACUUAGCUUGCUAAGUUUGAUGGCGACCGGCGCACGGGUGAGUAACGCGUAUCCAACCUUCCGUUUACUCGGGUAUAGCCUUUCGAAAGAAAGAUUAAUCCCCGAUGGUAUGGUAAGAUUGUAUGAAAUUACCAUUAAAGAUUAAUCGGUAAACGAUGGGGAUGCGUUCCAUUAGGUAGUAGGCGGGGUAACGGCCCACCUAGCCGACGAUGGAUAGGGGUUCUGAGAGGAAGGUCCCCCACAUUGGAACUGAGACACGGUCCAAACUCCUACGGGAGGCAGCAGUGAGGAAUAUUGGUCAAUGGGCGAGAGCCUGAACCAGCCAAGUAGCGUGAAGGAUGAAGGUUCUAUGGAUUGUAAACUUCUUUAUAAGGGAAUAACGGACACUACGUGUAGUGUUUUGCAUGUACCUUAUGAAUAAGCAUCGGCUAACUCCGUGCCAGCAGCCGCGGUAAUACGGAGGAUGCGAGCGUUAUCCGGAUUUAGUGGGUUUAAAGGAGCGUAGGCGGGAGUAUUAAGUCAGCUAGUGAAACGUUCGGGCUCAACCUUGGAAUUGCUUAAGG